UCGAUGUGUGAGGAGAUAUAGGAACUCACCUUACUGGACCUUCCCAAGGAAGAAGGUGAUGCCUUUGUUUCUGAUUCAAUUUUCUGAUGCUUUCUCCCGGAGAGCCGUUGAUGUUGUUGUAUAGAGCUAACUCCCCUCCUGGGUUUGAUCUGGGGCUCUAACUUGGGCCGAUGAACUUUACAUGUGAUGGGUCAAUAUAUGGUCCAUGGCACUACUCGACGUGACAUUACUACCCCUGAAAACUUUGCUUGUCCCUAAGAAAAGGUAUGUCCCCGCUUCUUAAAUUCAAGAUAUCUAAAUGCACAAUCCCUUGUUAAAAGUAUAGCAGUGAUGAUGACAACAUCUUGAGUAAUGGACUGAGUGUCCCUUGACCUGUGCAGAACCAUCCAUUCCCCUUCCAUCAAAUGAGAUAAAUGAUUUG
rnacentral:lncRNA from 1 species